GAACGCUGGCGGCGUGCUUAUACAUGCAAGUCGUGCGAGAAAGUACCUUCGGGGUGCGAGUAGAGCGGCAAACGGGUGAGUAACACGUAAGUAACCUACCUCUAAAUCUGGAAUAACUCUGCCAACGCGGAGCUAAUACCGGAUGUGGUCACGAUGCUGCAUGGUAUUGUGACUAAAGGUGACCUCUCCUUGGAAGUUACCGUUUAGAGAUGGGCUUGCGGACCAUUAGCUAGUUGGUGAGGUAACGGCUCACCAAGGCUACGAUGGAUAGCCGGCCUAAGAGGGUGAUCGGCCACAUUGGGACUGAGAUACGGCCCAGACUCCUACGGGAGGCAGCAGUAGGGAAUUUUGCGCAAUGGACGAAAGUCUGACGCAGCAACGCCGCGUGAGGGAUGACGGCCUUCGGGUUGUAAACCUCUGUUGAGUGGGAAGAAAAGCUUUGUGGUUAAUAUCCACAGAGUCUGACGGUACCACUCGAGGAAGCUCCGGCUAACUACGUGCCAGCAGCCGCGGUAAUACGUAGGGGGCUAGCGUUGUUCGGAAUCACUGGGCGUAAAGGGAGUGUAGGCGGACCGGUAAGUUAGGAGUUAAAUGUACGGGCUCAACCCGUGAUCUGCUUUUAAUACUGUCGGUCUUGAGUAUGGGAGAGGGAGAUGGAAUUCCAGGUGUAGCGGUGGAAUGCGUAGAUAUCUGGAAGAACACCAGUUGCGAAGGCGGUCUCCUGGACCAAUACUGACGCUGAUGCUCGAAAGCUGGGGGAGCGAACAGGAUUAGAUACCCUGGUAGUCACAAACGUAAAACGAUGGACACUAGUUGCCCGGAAGAGUCAAUCCCUUCGAGUGAAGAAGCUAACGCAUUAAGUGUCCCGCCGUGGGGUGUACGCUUUGCAAUGGGUGAACUUCAUAUGGAAUUGACGGGUGUCCGUACAAUCGUUGGAGCAUGUGCUUGAAUUCGAUGCUACGCUGUAGAACCUUACCUGGGUUUGACAUGGGGGUGAAAGUUUCCAGAGAUGGAAGCCUUUCCUUCGGGUACACCCCACACAGGUGCUGCAUGGUUGUCGUCAGCUCGUGUCGUGAGAUGUUGGGUUAAGUCCCGCAACGAGCGCAACCCCUGCCCUUAGUUGCCAUCAGGUAAAGCUGGGAACUCUAAGGGGACAGCUUGGUAUAACCAGGAGGAAGGUGGGGAUGACGUCAAAUCAUCAUGGCUCUUACGCCCAGGGCUAGACACGUGCUACAAUGGCAGGUACAGUGGGAUGCCAACCUGCGAAGGUGAGCUAAUCCCUUAAAACCUGUCUCAGUCCGGAUUGGAGUCUGCAACUCGACUCCAUGAAGUUGGAAUCGCUAGUAAUCGCGGAUCAGCAUGCCGCGGUGAUACGUUCCCGGGCCUUGUACACACCGCCCGUCAAGCCAUGAAAGGCGGUAGUACCCGAAGUCGCGUACCCAA
rnacentral:rRNA from 1 species